AGCCAGACUCCUACGGGAGGCAGCAGUGAGGAAUAUUGGUCAAUGGACGAGAGUCUGAACCAGCCAAGUAGCGUGAAGGAUGACUGCCCUAUGGGUUGUAAACUUCUUUUAUAUGGGAAUAAAACAGGGUAUGCAUACCCUCUUGUAUGUACCAUAUGAAUAAGGAUCGGCUAACUCCGUGCCAGCAGCCGCGGUAAUACGGAGGAUGCGAGCGUUAUCCGGAUUUAUUGGGUUUAAAGGGUGCGUAGGCGGGCUUUUAAGUCAGCGGUAAAAAUUCGGGGCUCAACCCCGUCCGGCCGUUGAAACUGGGGGCCUUGAGUGGGCGAGAAGAAGGCGGAAUGCGUGGUGUAGCGGUGAAAUGCAUAGAUAUCACGCAGAACCCCGAUUGCGAAGGCAGCCUUCCGGCGCCCUACUGACGCUGAGGCACGAAAGUGCGGGGAUCGAACAGGAUUAGAUACCCCCGUAUA
rnacentral:rRNA from 1 species